CCACCCGCGUCCCUUAUAUAUAGCGACCUAAGCAACAACAAAAAGGCUUAGAUUUUGGCAGUUGCAAGGGGAAGAGAAAAGAAGGAAGGAAAAAAAGGGAGAGGCUUUAAAAGAGGAUUAGACAAAUUCAUGGAGAAUAAGGCUUUCCAUGGAUAUUAGGCACAAUGGCUAUGCUCUACCUCCAUUGAUGAAGGCAGUAUGCCUCUGUACACCAGUUUCUGGAAAUUGCAGGAGGGGAGAAUCCUGUUACUCUCAGGUCCUGCUUCUGGUCUUUCAGUAUGCACUUGCUUGGCCCUUGUGAGAACAGGAUGUUGGAUUAAAUGGGCCUUCAGUCUGAUCUGGCAGCAAAGCUCUUCUUAUGUACUGCAACUGGGGAUGGAGUAUGCAUUUAAAGCUGAAUGCACACAAUUCACACGUAUGAACUGAAACACAGCUAUCUUUUGAAAUCCGCACAGCUCUGAAUUUUGCAAUGCAGUUCUCCUGCCAAGUCAUGGGCACAAUAAUGCAUAUACAGCGGUACCUUGGUACCCGAACAGCUUGGCUCCCGAACAAAACACCGCAAACCUGGAAGUAAGUGUUCCGGUUUGCGAACGUUUUUCAGAAGCUGGGCGUCUGACACGGCUUCCCCUUGAGUGCAGGAAGCUCCUGCAGCCAAUCGGAAUCUGUGCCUUGGUUUUCGAAUGGUUUUGGGAGUCAAAUGGACUCCCGGAACGGAUUAAGUUCAAGAACCAAGGUAUCACCGUAUUAAGGUAAGGAGUGCCUAUAUUAGUGAAAAUAACAUAUAAAAAUGCAUUCUGUUGGGGGAAAUAAAAAGUAUUAGGAAAAACAUGUUCCAUAAAAAUGUGUCCAUUAGGCAAAAUGUCAU